rnacentral:rRNA from 4 species
ACGGGUGAGUAAUGCCUAGGAAUCUGCCUGGUAGUGGGGGAUAACGUUCGGAAACGGACGCUAAUACCGCAUACGUCCUACGGGAGAAAGCAGGGGACCUUCGGGCCUUGCGCUAUCAGAUGAGCCUAGGUCGGAUUAGCUAGUUGGUGAGGUAAUGGCUCACCAAGGCGACGAUCCGUAACUGGUCUGAGAGGAUGAUCAGUCACACUGGAACUGAGACACGGUCCAGACUCCUACGGGAGGCAGCAGUGGGGAAUAUUGGACAAUGGGCGAAAGCCUGAUCCAGCCAUGCCGCGUGUGUGAAGAAGGUCUUCGGAUUGUAAAGCACUUUAAGUUGGGAGGAAGGGCCAUUACCUAAUACGUGAUGGUUUUGACGUUACCGACAGAAUAAGCACCGGCUAACUCUGUGCCAGCAGCCGCGGUAAUACAGAGGGUGCAAGCGUUAAUCGGAAUUACUGGGCGUAAAGCGCGCGUAGGUGGUUUGUUAAGUUGGAUGUGAAAUCCCCGGGCUCAACCUGGGAACUGCAUUCAAAACUGACUGACUAGAGUAUGGUAGAGGGUGGUGGAAUUUCCUGUGUAGCGGUG